AGGUCUUGUUUCGUCGAAGGCAAUGACUGCUGACAAUGAUGAUAUUUCUGAGGAUCCUUAAGGUCUUGUUUUGUCGAAGGCAAUGACUGCUGACAAAGAUGAUAUUUCUCAGGGUCCUUAAGGUCUUGUUUUGUCGAAGGCAAUGACUGCUGAAGAAGAUGAUAUGUGUCAGGAUCCUUAAGGUCUUGUUUCGUCGAAGGCAAUAACUGCUGACGGAGAUGAUAUUUCUGAGGAUCCUUAAGGUCUUGUUUUGUCGAAGGCAAUGACUGCUGACGAUUACCAAAAACCUUCCGGAAUAAAUGAUAUACUUUCUUAAGGGCCGAGAAAAAGAAACCAAACAUGUUUACUUCUUCUUUGCUCUUGACUACUUGAAUCCUUGUAGUUG
rnacentral:lncRNA from 1 species